rnacentral:rRNA from 1 species
GACGAACCGUGCGAACGUUGUUCGGAAUCACUGGGCUUAAAGGGCGCGUAGGCGGCUUGCCAAGUCCGGGGUGAAAGCCUCCAGCUUAACUGGAGAAGUGCCUUGGAUACUGGCGAGCUUGAGUGAGGUAGGGGCCGGUUGGAACUUCCGGUGGAGCGGUGAAAUGCGUUGAUAUCGGAAGGAACGCCGGUGGCGAAAGCGAACGGCUGGACCUCUUCUGACGCUGAGGCGCGAAAGCUAGGGGAGCGAACGGG